CUAAGGCUCCAGAGGAAGCCACGGCUAACUCUGUGCCAGCAGCCGCGGUAAUACAGAGGCGGCAAGCGUUGUUCGGAAUUAUUGGGCGUAAAGAGCACGUAGGCGGCCUUGCAAGUCAGUUGUGAAAGCCUUCCGCUUAACGGAAGAAUGCCAGCUGAUACUACAGGGCUUGGGUACGGGAGGGGAGAGUGGAACUUCUGGUGGGGCGGUGAAAUGCGUAGAUAUCAGAAGGAACGCCGGCGGCGAAAGCGACUCUCUGGCCCGAAACUGACGCUGAGUGUGCGAAAGCUAGGGGAGCAAACGGGAUUAGAUUCCCCGGUAGUCCUAGCCGUAAA
rnacentral:rRNA from 1 species